rnacentral:lncRNA from 1 species
UUUAAAAGACUAUUGGUCGCCAGUUUUUCAUAUAUUGUUUUGGUUUAUCUCCCUUUGGUAUACAAGUAAUUAUCCCUCUUUUUUGGGAUACUGACAUUUCACCCAUAUUAUACCCAUAGUUGAUUGAUCUAAGAACAAAUUUACCCAAAUCUAUCCAAAAGAAUUUAAAAAACUCACUGGUGUACCCAUCAGAUCCUGGGCUUUUAUUACUUUUCAUUCUUUUAAUAGCAGCUGUUAAUUCUGAAUAGGAG